GAUGAACGCUGGCGGCGUGCCUAAUACAUGCAAGUCGAGCGAACAGACGAGGAGCUUGCUCCUCUGACGUUAGCGGCGGACGGGUGAGUAACACGUGGAUAACCUACCUAUAUGACUGGGAUAACUUCGGGAAACCGGAGCUAAUACCGGAUAAUAUAUUGAACCGCAUGGUUCAAUAGUGAAAGACGGUUUUGCUGUCACUUAUAGAUGGAUCCGCGCCGCAUUAGCUAGUUGGUAAGGUAACGGCUUACCAAGGCAACGAUGCGUAGCCGACCUGAGAGGGUGAUCGGCCACACUGGAACUGAGACACGGUCCAGACUCCUACGGGAGGCAGCAGUAGGGAAUAUUCCGCAAUGGGCGAAAGCCUGACGGAGCAACGCCGCGUGAGUGAUGAAGGUCUUCGGAUCGUAAAACUCUGUUAUUAGGGAAGAACAAAUGUGUAAGUAACUAUGCACGUCUUGACGGUACCUAAUCAGAAAGCCACGGCUAACUACGUG
rnacentral:rRNA from 1 species